rnacentral:rRNA from 1 species
GAUGAACGCUGGCGGCGUGCCUAAUACAUGCAAGUCGAGCGAACAGACGAGGAGCUUGCUCCUCUGACGUUAGCGGCGGACGGGUGAGUAACGCGUGGAUAACCUACCUAUAAGACUGGGAUAACUUCGGGAAACCGGAGCUAAUACCGGAUAAUAUAUUGAACCGCAUGGUUCAAUAGUGAAAGACGGUUUUGCUGUCACUUAUAGAUGGAUCCGCGCCGCAUUAGCUAGUUGGUAAGGUAACGGCUUACCAAGGCGACGAUGCGUAGCCGACCUGAGAGGGUGAUCGGCCACACUGGAACUGAGACACGGUCCAGACUCCUACGGGAGGCAGCAGUAGGGAAUCUUCCGCAAAGGGCGAAAGCCUGACGGAGCAACGCCGCGUGAGUGAUGAAGGUCUUCGGAUCGUAAAACUCUGUUAUUAGGGAAGAACAAAUGUGUAAGUAACUAUGCACGUCUUGACGGUACCUAAUCAGAAAGCCACGGCUAACUACGUG